rnacentral:rRNA from 1 species
GUGCCAGCCGCCGCGGUAAUACGUAGGGGGCGAGCGUUGUCCGGAAUCAUUGGGCGUAAAGCGCGCGCAGGCGGCCUGCAGAGCCCGGCGUGAAAGCCCCCGGCUCAACCGGGGGAGGCCGUCGGGGACCUGUGGGCUGGAGGCCGGCAGGGGAGAGCGGAAUUCCCGGUGUAGUGGUGGAAUGCGUAGAGAUCGGGAGGAACACCAGUGGCGAAGGCGGCUCUCUGGGCCGGUCCUGACGCUCAGGCGCGAAAGCGUGGGGAGCGAUCCGGAUUAGAUACCCCCGUAGUCC